GGUUGGUCCAAUGAUAGUGGGUUAUCAGAAUUUAUUAACAUUAGUGUCACAAUAGCUGGUAUACAUCCUUCCACUGCUAAAUUUGACUGGUUUUAA
rnacentral:Y_RNA from 1 species